ensembl:lncRNA
GGAGAUCAACAGCGGAGGUCAACGGGCGAAGGCAGGGGUGGAGGUAGCACUGGAGGUAGCGCUGGAGGUAGCGCUGGAGGUAGCGCUGGAGGUAGCGCUGGAGGUAACGCUAGAGGUAGCGCUGGAGGUAGCGCUGGAGGUAACGCUGGAGGUAGCAUGAGAGGGCGGCAAUCAUUGUCUCAGGCCUCGCUUCUUGCCCUCCAGGCGGACAGGAGGGGUACCCGACCCUCCUCCUGGUCGGGCCAGACCCCUCCUCCAGCACUCCUGGUCCUUCUGCUCCACCCGGCCCCCACCACCCCAGGUCCCUCCGGCCCGGCUGCCCCCCAGCUCUGCUCUGGUGAGGGCCAGGUCCCGCUUCAGGUACGCAUCCAGACCCGGGUCUAGAGCCAGCGUCCCGGUCCGGUCUGGGCGGGGAGCCAGCGUCUGUUGGGUGGGGCGCCGGGGGGGUUGGCGGUGACAAUGGAGAGAGGGGGAGGAGGAGGGUGGUGGCGUGGAGGGGAGGAAGGAGGAGGAGGUGGGCAUUUUGGUGGGAAAGAGAGAAGGAGGAGGAUGAGGGAGAGGAGGAGGAGGAAGAGGAGCAAGCAGGAGCUCAGCCCGCUGCCGUGCAGACCUCUCCUCCUGCAGCCGCCUACGCAGACCCUCGUUCUCCC